UGUGCUUCCUAUAUAGACACACUGAUAACCCUGAAGUUUAACUGACUUGGAGUUAUACUGUGAUGAUUAAUAAGUGUUCCCUUCAUUUUUUAAUAUAUGCAUUAUCAAAAUCACUGUUGAAAAUGUGUUGAAACAAGCUGCUAUCCGCCUCUGUGCUGAUGCUGUUUCCUGGCUCUGCGUGUCUGUGUGUGUGUGUGUGUUUCACGUGACCACUCAGAGAGCCCGUGCGCCUCGGAAGCAGCGGCGGACACUGAAAGCAAAAGGAAACAACACCACAGUGUGGAGCUCAGCAGUCGCUUAAAUUACUUUAACACAGUAAAGUGGACGCUUGUAAUCUCCGAGGAUGUUUGCUCUCGGGGAGAAGAUGGAGUUCCUGAUAGGAAACCCCUUUUCAACGCCCGUCGGUCAGAGAGUCGAGCGAGCGACCAGCGGCACUGUGCAGUCGGAGGACUGGGGGCUCAACAUGGAGAUAUGUGAUAUCAUCAACGAGACGGACGAAGGGCCCAGAGAUGCAGUAAAAGCUAUUAAGAAGAGAAUCGUAGGAAACAAGAACUUCAGAGAGAUCAUGCUGGCACUUACUGUUCUUGAGGCCUGUGUGAAGAACUGUGGCCAUCGCUUCCACAUUCUUGUGGCGUCGCAGGAGUUUAUUGAAGGAGUUUUGGUCCGUUCCAUUCUGCCCAAAUACAACCCCCCCACUGCCCUCCAUGACAGGGUGCUCAGCCUCAUACAGUCGUGGGCCGAUGCGUUUCGUAGCUCUCCUUCCCUAGUGGGGGUGGUGUACGUUUAUGAUGACCUGCGGAGACGUGGUCUGGAGUUCCCCAUGACGGAUCUGGAUGCUCUGUCCCCCAUCCACACUCCGAACAGGAGCACCCCGGAAAACGGGACUCCUGAAACGACCCAAGUCGCUGCUCCCACGCAGCAGUCACAACCACAAGCACCUUCUAGUGUUCCCGCUGAGAAUACUUCACCUCCAGUCCAGCCCAGUGAGGGAUCAGGCUCCCUCUCUGCAGAACAGGAACAGAAGCUGCGAAGUGAGCUGGCGCUGGUGAAAGGAAAUCUCACUGUGAUGUCAGAGAUGCUGAAUGAGCUCAUACCUGGACAGAGUCAACAAGAUGAUACGGAGCUGCUACAGCAGCUGUACUCGGUGUGUAAGAGCAUGCAGUCUCGAGUGGUGGAGCUCAUCCCCAACCUGCUGGAUGAAGGGUUCAUUGAAGAGCUGCUCAUGGUCAACGAUGACCUCAACAACGCCUUCAUCCGCUAUGAGAGGUUUGACAGACUAAACAAGGCACAAAUUCCAAAUACUCAACAGCAGAGCUCUACCACCAGCCCGAGCCUCAUCGACCUCAGCCCUGAGCCUUCAACUCUCAGCCAACCUGCCGUCAUCACAACAACCGACCAACCAGCCGUCAGCAGCAGCCAGGCUAGUCAGCAGCAGUCAGCCGACCACAAAGAGGAGGAGGAGUUUGACAUGUUUGCCCAGACGAGAGGCAGCUCCCUGGCUGAGCAGAGGAAAGGCGUCAGGUAUGAGGACCCCGGAGCUGUGGAGGGCCUUGCUGGAGCUCUGGAUACGAGGCUGCAGGUCACAGGAGGGAUGCCACCAGCGAAAAACUCUGUGCAGAACGAUGUUGACAGAUGGUUAUCUUGUGAUAUGGAAGAGCAGUCUUCAGUUAGUGGAGGAGUGUCCAGUGAAGAGUUUGAUCAGUUCCUGGAAGAUCGGGCGAAGACAUCAGACCGCAGCAGCCAGGCAACUCGCAGCGCGCCGCCCCCCGCAUCCAGACCGCCGCCACAGUCCAGCCGGCAAAAGGACAGAUCAGACCAGCUUUUUUCACUUUGAGUUUGAGGGACAAACAAGAGAAACGAGUGGAUGUAAAGGUCAUAUUAAAAUACUUAAGUCAGGUUUUCUCUGAAAACACACACACACACACACGCACACAAUAAAACCUGACACUACAGACCUGCUGCCGAAUCAACUCGUCACAUAAAUGCAAUAAUUCCUAGUUAAUUCCUGCUGUUUGUUAUCUCUAUGUAAGUAUAAACACCUUUAUGUGAUUGUAUUUAUGAAAUGUAUUAUUAUAAUGUUGAUAUAACAAAAACUUAAAUUAGAAACAGUGUUUACAGUUAAGUAUAAUGUUGAAAAUAUAUUUGAUAUCAUGCCAUCAUGUGCCUUUGACCCAGACAGCUGAUUUUGUGUAGAUGAGAAUAAAUGGGGUUAUUGUCCUGCAAA